AAGGCAGAACAACAUGACUGAAGGCGAUGAGGAACAGCUGAUCACCUGUGGAAGUCAUUUGUCCUAAAUUGUCAUGGACAGACCAUGUGCCUUACAGCAAGAAAAUUCUGUGAAUAAACAGGAAGCCAGCCAGCCAGGGAAGAUGCUUUUGUGAUAUAUCCCAGCAUGCUGAUGACCCCAAGGAGGACCACUGGAUACCUAGCAAGGAGCUGGCUGCAGCAUACCAUGAAUCCUCACAGCAACUUAAUGAGGAAAAAGAAGAACUGAUUGAAGAGUGGCAACCAGAACCUCUUGUUCCUCCUGUCCCAAAAGACCAUCCUGCUCUCAACUACAACAUCGUUUCAGGGGACACAAAAUGGGGGAAACAUGUUGUUUCUGCUUCUGCAAGGAACCAGACUGCCAUCUCUAAUGCAUGCAUCACAGGUACCCAGUAGGGGCAGUCAAACAGCAAAAGCUACACAAUGAUGGGCCACGGGAGCAAGGGUGAAAAGACGGAAGAGAAGAUUAGAAAUUAGCCUAAGAUUUCUGAUCUACUAAUUUACAAUGUAGGUGACACUGUGUUCCAAGUGUUUUGGCUUUUGGUGUAAGCCAAAUUUGAGAUGUAUCUUUACAGCCACAAGUUUUCUGGAUAAUACAUAGAUAAUCAUAAGCCUCUUUCCAAA
rnacentral:lncRNA from 1 species